rnacentral:lncRNA from 1 species
AGAACUGACAUCAGAAUGUGAAGCAGUAGCUUAUCUCACUACUUGUCUCAUGGCCAGCAUGUGACCCUGGCUGCAAAGCUCUCACCAGGGAAGACUGGCAGGCAUCAAGAGGCUUAGCUUUCACAGGCUCCAGAGAUCUUGUUCUCCAGCCUUCACAUUUACAAGGAGCCCUGCUGCACCUGUGCCAUCCCACAAUAGGGAAACACACCUAGUGAGGAGCAAGAAACCAGAGAAUUAUUACCUCUUUCAUGACUGCUACACUCUGUCCAUGAACAUAGCUCAGGGGUGGGCAAACUACGGCCCAGGGGCUGCACCUGACCCCCCCAGAUGUUUUGAUCCGGCCCUCGAGCUCCCGCUGGGGAGCGAGGUCUGGGGCUUGCCCCAUUCUGCG